CCGAGUGUGCGCGGGAUCGGCUUUGGGGCUGGGCGGAGUGUGGAGGCCGAGUUGACUGCAGGCCCGCAGGGCUUCCUCGGGGCGGGAUCCCUUGCUUGGGUAGUAUGGGGGCGGGGCGUGGGUGCCGGGGCGGAACCCGAGGGCCGGAAGCGGACGGAACCCGGGGUCCCGCAAGCAGCCCGCCAUGGACGAAGCGGACCGCCAGCUCCUGCGGCGGUGUCGGGUGCGCCUGGUUGGUGAGCUGCAGGUCGCCGAGCUCUGGGACGCUCUGCUUAGUCGAGAGCUCUUCACGCGGGACAUGAUCGAGGAUAUCCAGCGGGCAGGCUCUGGGUCUCGGCGGGAUCAGGCCAGGCAGCUGGUCACCGAUCUUGAGACCCGAGGGAGGCAGGCCCUUCCUGUCUUCAUCUCCUGCUUAGAGGACACAGGUCAAGACACCCUGGCUUCAUUCUUGCGAACUAGCCGGCAAGCAGCCAAGCAGGAUCCAGAGGCUGUUAAACCCCUAGACCACCUGGUGCCUGUGGUCCUGGGACCAAUCGGACUCACACCAAAGGAGCAGAGAGUAGUGAAGCUGGACCCAUCUCAGCCUGCCCAGGGAAACCUCACACCCGUGGUGCUGGGGCCAGAAGAGCUCUGGCCUGCCCGCCUCAGACCAGAGGUUCUCAGGCCAGAAACUCCCAGGCCAGUGGACAUUGGUUCUGACAGAAGCCAUGAUGUCUGUGCUCCAGAGAAGAUCAAGGGUCAUGCAGAUAUGGCAUACAUCCUGGAUGCAGACCCCUGUGGCCACUGCCUCAUCAUCAACAAUGUGAACUUCCGCCCUUCCUCGGGACUCAGCACGCGCACUGGCUCCAAUGUGGACUGUGAGAAGCUUCAACACCGCUUCCGCUGGCUGCAUUUCAUGGUGGAGGUGAAGAAUGACCUGACUGCCAAGGAAAUGGUUGCGGCUUUGGUGGAGAUGGCACAACGGGACCACCGCGCCCUGGACUGCUUUGUGGUGGUCAUCCUCUCUCAUGGGUGCCAGGCCAGCCACCUGCAGUUCCCGGGUGCCGUCUAUGGCACAGAUGGAUGCGCCGUGUCCAUCGAGAAAAUUGUGAACAUCUUCAAUGGGACUGGCUGCCCUAGCCUGGGGGGGAAGCCGAAGUUGUUCUUCAUCCAGGCCUGUGGUGGCGAGCAGAAAGACCACGGCUUUGAGGUGGCCUGUGGUUCCUCUCAAGGCAAGGCCUCUGACAGUGACUCUGAACCAGACGCUGUCCCAUACCAGGAAGGCCCAGGGACCUGUGACCAGCUGGAUGCCGUGUCAAGUUUGCCCACUCCCAGUGACAUCCUUGUAUCCUAUUCCACCUUCCCAGGUUUUGUCUCCUGGAGGGACAAGAAGAGUGGCUCCUGGUACAUUGAGACCCUGGACGGCGUCCUGGGGCAGUGGGCUCACGCUGAAGACCUGCAGUCCCUCCUCCUCAGGGUGAGUCCUUCUUCCUGAGGGGCGCAGAGGCCUGGAGAGCAGGGCAGCAGGCCCUGGCUGAGAGCCGGGCAGCACUUUGCCUCUCAGGUUGCCAAUGCUGUUUCUGAGAAAGGAAUUUAUAAGCAGAUUCCUGGCUGUUUUAACUUCCUCCGGAAGAAACUGUUUUUCAGGACUUAAUGAGGCUGGGGCUGCUCAUUGCCUCAUUGUUCUUCCCUAAACCUUCAUACCCUGGAGGUGGCGAGACCAGGACUGUCCUGCAAAGCCAGGGUUUUGGAACUGGGACAGGCCGCUCUUUCCCCUUGUGUGGCAGACAGGCUCCUAGCAGCUUCCAGGUUGGUGAGAGACGCAGAUCGGUGGAGGGAGAGGGGGAGUGUGCUGUGGAUGCCACCUGGCCUCUCCAUCUGUGCUUAGGGACUGGCCUGUGACCCCAGACCCUCUCUAGAGCAGGGCUUCUCUGCCGCUGAAUGUAAUCCUGUCAUGGGAUUAUCCUGUGUAUUACAGGGUGUUUUGCACCAUCUCUGGUCUCUACCUGCCAGCUGCCAGGAGACCCUUCCUGAGUUCUGCUAACCAGAAAUGUCUUCAGACAUUGUCACAUGUGCCCUAGGGGACAUAACAGCCCCCACUGGAGGACCACUGUCCACAGGGGUCAGGGGCUCAGACCUGCAGUCCAGCGGGCCAGUGUGAACACCUGGAUCUCUGAGUCUCACUGAAGUUUCCAGAAGGGUUCGUUUUUUCCUUUAUUGUAUCAUUUAUUCUUAAAAAAUAAAUCUUAGGCCAAAGGUCUUCCUUUUGCCUGUGCCGUCCCCA